AUUGAACGCUGGCGGCAUGCCUUACACAUGCGAGUCGAACGGUAACAGGUUAAGCUGACGAGUGGCGAACGGGUGAGUAAUACAUCGGAACGUGCCCAGUAGUGGGGGAUAGCCCGGCGAAAGCCGGAUUAAUACCGCAUACGACCUAAGGGGGAAAGGGGGGGAUCGCAAGACCUCUCGCUAUUGGAGCGGCCGAUGUCAGAUUAGCUAGUUGGUGGGGUAAAAGCUCACCAAGGCGACGAUCUGUAGCUGGUCUGAGAGGACGACCAGCCACACUGGGACUGAGACACGGCCCAGACUCCUACGGGGGGCAGCAGUGGGGAAUUUUGGACAAUGGGCGCAAGCCUGAUCCAGCCAUGCCGCGUGCGGGAAGAAGGCCUUCGGGUUGUAAACCGCUUUUGUCAGGGAAGAAAUCCUUUGGGUUAAUACCUCGGGGGGAUGACGGUACCUGAAGAAUAAGCACCGGCUAACUACGUG
rnacentral:rRNA from 1 species